GUCGGCUACUCAGAACAGCUAGGCUGCUCUCCUGACUGGGUCCUGGAGGGGUUUUGCUUACCUGUAAUUGAAAAAAAGACUACGAGGAAACGAGGUAACACCAGCCUACAGUAAGGGGUGAAACGACUGUGUGACCUGGGCUGCAAACUCAGAAUGGUCUUCUCCCACAUUGUCCACUACGGGAAAGUAGAACAUUGGCUGCACCAUUCCCACCUCUUGACUGGCUUCUAAUGCCACUACUGUCUUUUAGCUACAGACCAUGACGCCCACCAAUUUCCUAUGAAUACCUGGGAGUUCAAUCUUGGUGGGGGACAAUAAAGUAUAUCAUAUAUCUCAGCUCUUCCACUCAUUCCAUUCUAUGGAGACAAAGGAUGCCAGGAGAAAAGGUUAAGGUGAGUCCAUGUGUUCAAGUACAUCAAGUAAGACUCAAAUAAACCCCUUAAAGGGGUAGUUCACCCAAA